CCGAGAAUUGGCAAUGCAAGGAUAAUUCCGGGGCAACUCCUCCUACCAACACCGAAAGGAAGAAAUCUAAAGUCAUUGCCAUUGGCCUCAACGUGCUUCUCCUCUUCGAAGAACCUCUCAGGUCUGAACUCUUCAGGUUUCUUCCAGUGAGCGGGGUCAUUAGCUAGCCACCAAGCGUUAACCAAGAUUUUGCUCUCAGCUGGAAUAUCGUAUCCAGCAAGCUUAGCAUCAUGAAGGUUCAUGUGUGGGACUAAAAGAGGAAUUGCCAUCCUGAGUCUAAGAGUCUCCUUGAUCACAGCCUGAAGGUACGGAAGCUUGGGCAUGUCUGGCUCAGUUACUUGCACUCCUGGUCCAAGAACUGUAUCAAUCUCGUCACGGAGUUUCUUUUGGAUGUGAGGGUGGUUGACUAGUUCCGCGAUACCCCACUCAAUUGACCAUAAUGUUGUUUCGAUUGCUGUUCAUGACAAUAAUUAAGCAUAUUAGCCGAAUAAUCAACUAACCAAGAAGUUUAUGAACAGAUAUAAACAACUAAACAUGCUUCAAUGGUUCAAAUAAAGCUCACUUAUUGCUCAGUACAAGACAAAGCGACGAAACUACUUUAGGACCAGAGGCAAUUCCAAGAUCUACAAUUAGUGAGCUCAAAAUGAGUAUGAUUUUGUCAUAUAUAUAUAAUAGAUCCUUCUUUCAUAUGCAUGCACACUACAGACCAAAAGCAGUUAGUUCAGUAAAACUCAGAAAACCGCUUAAAUCCAUUUUUGUUUGAGACUUUGGCCUUAUAGUAUAUCAUACAGUUCACUUUGUUACUUAUUUACGGUUCUACUUGAAUGUUACCAUAACAGCUUAUUUUCAAAAAUUACAUCAGUGCUUUUGUUUGUAGACAAAAUAAUGAUACUAAAUAUCUUUUAGUACAUUACUCCACUAUCAUGAUCAUAAUUAACACGAGUUGUUUCAAGUCAUUACUUAUGGAAAGUUAGAUGCCUUAAAAUGUGCACCAACAACCCUGUCUACCUAACCCCCAUCAAGAAAAUUGGCAAGUACACCAACCAUAUCAAACUGUUACCUAUCCCCUUAUUUGGAACUUCUCACCUACUACUUUUGAUUAAAAAACAGAGUAAAUCGGAACAGGGAUCCAUCAGGCUUACGCCCAUUCCGGAAAGUUCCUCACUGCUGCCCCUCACAGGAAUCUGGGCCAUGUUUCAGUCCUAGUGCAGUUGAUCAUCCUCUAAGACCAGCUACUGAUCAUCCCUCUGCAAAGUGAUUGUCACACUAACUAGCUAACCACACGCGAGCCCCUCGGGUGGAUUCCUCCUUUUCUUUAGCAAUUAGUUGCUGUUCCCCACCCAAAUGCAUUCACUUAUAAAUUACUUUUCUUAGUUUCUGACUAGGAUGAUUAAAAAUCAUGUAACAACUGACAAAAUAAGUUCCUUAAACUUUGGUGCAAAUCCAAAUACCGUACAAAAAAAAAAUGUGGAGGUGACAUUGUCAUUCUUGGUUUACCAGUCAAACACACCAUUCUGUUAUUCUUAUCCAAAAGACUCGUGAGGAUUCCAAACCAAGUACCGUUAAAAGUUAUUUUCAACAUUUUCACAAGGAGAUGCACAUGCUAAACCAAACUAGAACAAAGUAUGUUCAGAGAAUUAAAAAGUAUUUUGAAACAUACCAGCAACAUUAAUGUUCUCAACAAUGUAAAGAACGUUAUCCUCGUUGAUCUCUCCCUUCUGUUGAGCAUCAAGAAUGUGAUCAAUGGCACAUUUUAGAGCAUUGCUGUCCAUGCUCUUGGUAUUUGCAAGCUUCCUGCACAAAGCAAUAAAAAUAUGUUAAAAACUAAUUGUACCUCAAAGCACUUCAUCUAGCCAGACCUUACAGACAAUAUUUGGCUAAACUAUCCUUCAUCUCUCUUUAAAGGAAACCGCAUAAUUAACACAACCCUAAUAUCAAAUGUUUUGAAGAAAAUUUAAGUCGCCACAACAACUCAAAUUUAAACCAGAGGAAUUUCUCCCUCCAAUCCUUUUUAUUUACAGCUUUAACCAAACAAAUUUGGUCCAUAAUACAAGUUAACAUCUAAUUAAUUUAGUCAAAAUCUAGUAAGAAAAUAGACCGCAAACUUAACUCAAUCUCAAAAGCGCUCAAUUGCCCAAAGACCAUAUGAAGAGUUCAAUCACACCAUUCCACACCAAAUGGGACUUCCAACACCACCCCUGCACACAGGCCUACCAUCUAGAGCAUGGACAACACAUAUAGGACACAACAUUGGGUAAACGAAGAAUUAGAAUAGCUUGGCUCGGAUACCAUGAUAAGAAAGUACAGACAUAGAACCUAACUAAACCCAAAAGUUAUCUCAUCACCCCUCAUUGAGAAUUGUCUAAACCACAUGAAAGUCCAGUCACACCAUCCCUCAUUGAUGCAGGACUGAGUAAAGUUUGGUUCCUUAGAUUGAUCCUAUAAUCCUAGACAAUAAGACAGCACUUUGUGAUGUGAUCACUGAUCCCCACAUUCAAAGAUCAUUACCAACAAUACACCUAAUUUAUAAAAGAGACCGAGUAAAGAUAGGUUCUUUAGAUUGAUCCUAUGUCCUACACAUUUACAUCAAGAAAAUAAAACUAGGGAAAAUCAAUAAUUGAGCAUAAAGGAGAUAAAGUGAACUGAACUUACUUUCUUUCAUCAACAAAGUAGUCUUUGAAUAGCUUCAACCUUUUCUCCUUAACCUCCUUGCAAAUCUUCAAGUACCCUCUCAAGAAAGGCCUCAAAAUAGGGAUAAAAUCACCAUAGUUGUACUCAAAGCUCUGAGCCAAUCUACUCCUCUCACCAUUCAAAGCCCUAAGCUUUACAAAAAGAGGAUCAUCUUCACUCUCAAAUCUCCUAUCAAACGUAAUCCUAAACAUGUUAUUAUACAUCAUAAGCUGCAAUCUUUUCCUCAAACAAUCCCAUUUGUAGCAGAUUCAGGGUUUUUCUUCACAUCCUCAACCACACUAGCAGCCUCAGACUCCCACCCCCCUCUAUACUGCUGCACCACCUUAUUAGUAAAAAAGGGUACAGUCAUAAUCCUCCUCAUUUUCCUCCAGUGUUCACCAUACACUGUAAAAACCAUAUCUUGACCCUUACCUGUAAAAAUAUCAAAAACAACAUUUCUUGUUCUUGAACCAAAUUCAACCCCUUGUGUGUGUAAAACUUCUUUAGCUAAUUCAGGGGAUGACACAACAACUAAGUUCCUUUGCCCCAUUCUAAGCAAGAAAACAUCGCCAAAUUUUUUAGCAUACUCAGUAAGGUUUCUAUGGUUCAAAUCAUCACCAACUUGAAGCCAAUUUCCAAAAACUGGGACUGGAAUUGGACCUGGGGGUAGUUUAAAUCGCUUGGAACGAAGUUUAGAGACAAUAAUAGCGAUUAAAAUAGCAAAGAAAAGACCUAUUAAGGUCUUCUCCAGUAAGAGAAGAUCCAUUUUUGGUGAGUUCUUUUAGAGGGAAGUUAGAGAAAAGAAUGUUUUAAUACUGAUUAAGUGAAAACUGUGAGUAUUUAUAGAGGAGUAAGAUGGGGGUUAGGUGAAGAGUUAACGGCGUUACGUUUAACGGAAUGGUAGAUGGGGUUAGGUAGAGGAAAGAGAGAGGUGGGGUGGGCUGGGUUGGUGAGCUCAUAAAGACUUUUGCUAAGGGCAUACAUCAUUUAAUGUUUGAUUAAUUUAAUUAUGAAGAUAAGAUUGAAUUUAGAAAUUAUCUAAUUAUUAUAUGUAUAAAUAAAUUACAAUUUGCAUAAAAGGAAAAUAAUCUCACUAAGAUUUUAUAUAACUAAUUUAUAAAUUCAAUUUAUUAUUAUUGGAAGUCUGUUUGGACAUGGUUUGAAAUUGAAAUUUUGUUUGAAUAUGCAACUUGUGAUAAGUCAAUUCCCUAAAUGGUCACCUAAGUUUAGAAAUUGCCUUGAAAUAUCAUUUAUAUUUCAUUUAUAACCAAAAUAUCACUCAACUAUCACUAUUUUCCUCUAAAUAUACUUGACACUUCAAAAGCCUCACUCUCUCCUAGUUAGCAUGACAUGUCAUUAAAGUUUUUUUUUUAAUAAUAGAUUGAUUUGAUUCAUUUAACUAAAAUAAUGAUCAUAUUAUUUUUUUAAAGGAUAUAUAUAUAUAUAUAUAUAUAUAUAUUAGUUUAUUAAGAAUAAAACUUCAUACUUAAGAAUCUUUUAUUAUAAUUCAACUUUUUAUUUUUUUAUGUUAUGAAGAAUAGGUUUUUAAAACGUACUAUAAUAGCAUCAAUUUUGAAUACUUAUAAAUAUAUAUAUAUAUUAAAAAAAAAUCGAUAUACAAAUCACUCAUUAAUGUUAACUUACAUCAAUUAAUCAUAAAUUUUAUAAUAAAUCAAUAGUAUUAAAUGUCAAUUAACUAUUAUAAUAAAAUUAAUUGUGUAUUUUGAAAUUCAUGCUUACAAUUUUUUUUCUUGAAAAAACAUAGAAAGUGAAUAAUAUUAUUACUAUUUUUUAUCAAAAAAAAACAAAUAUUAAAUAUCUCAAAAGUCUCCUUCUAUUCUAGUUGAUAUGUCAUGUUAUUAAAUCAUCAUUUUAGAGAUAAUAGACCUAUUUAAUUCAUAAACUUAUGUCUCUACAAAACAAAUAUAUAAAUUACAUGAGAAUUUAUGAAGAUUAUAAAAAAAAAACUAAUUUCUUUAUAUUUUUUUACCAAUGAAAAAAACUUUGUGUGCAAUUAUUACUUGAUAAUUUUCAAAAUCCCUAAGUAAAUUAGUUGAAAAUUUUAAGAAUAUUUUGCAUAAAAGUAUUCAAAUAAAUUUGUAAGGUUGACAAAAAAGUUGGUAAGAAAGAGAAAAUUAUUAUUUAAAUUUUUUAAAUUUGUUUUUUUAUAUUUAUUCUUUUAUUGCUAUAUUAUAUUUUAACUUAUCAUACCAUUAAACACCAAUAUAUAUUCUUAUCUUAUUCCAAAUUCAUGAAAUACAAGUAAUAAUUAAUUGAAUUGCCUAUUUUAAUUCAAUAAUAUACAUAUUAUAUGAGAUUAAUAUACUGAUAAUAAAGAUCAAAAAUUUUAUUUUCUAAUAUAAAUAUUAUUCACUUUCUAUUUUCUUUUCAAAAAAAAGAUAUUGCAAGUAUGGAUUUCAAAGUUACCCAAUUAAUUAUUUUUAAUAGUUAAUUGACCUUUAAUAUUAUUGAUUAAUUAUAUAAUAUAUGAUUAAUUAAUGUAAAUUGAUAUUCAUGAGUGAUUUAUUUAUCAAUAUUUUUUGAAUAUAUGUGUUUACAAGUAUUCAAAAUUGAUGACAUUAUAGUAAGUUUUAAAAAACUAUUCUUCAUAGCAUAAAAAUAUUUAAAAAAUAAUUAUGAUAAAGAUUCUUAAGCAUGAAAAUUUCUUCUUAAUAAACUAAUAUAUACUUUUUAGAAAAUAAUAAUAUCAUUAUUUUAGUUAAAUGAGUUUGAUGAAUUAAAUAAGUCUAUUCUUUAAAAAAAAAAAGUUUCAGUGACAUGAGUCAUGACAUGCUAACUAGGAGAGAGUAAAACUUUUGAAGUGUUAAGUAUAUUUGGAGGAAAAUAAUGAUAGUUAAAUGAUAUUUUGAUCCUAAAUGAAACAUAAAUGAUAUGUCAAGGCAAUUUUCUAAACUUGGGUGACCAUUUAGGGAAUUCACUUACUUUGUGAUUCGUCUUCUUUUCAUUUCUCUCCAUUUACGUCGAGCCUUGACAAAUCAUGGGGUAGGGAAUAGCUUGAUUUUUACGACAAUUAUUCUAAAUUAUUUUCUUUUCUUUUUAAAAAAAAUAAAGACGACAAGUAAAAUAAACAAUAGGAAAAAUCUCGACCAAAACAAGGGAGAAAACUUGUCCAAAAUCUAAAGGAUUCGUGAUUAACAUUCAACUAUCUUUAAAUGGAGUGAAAAAAUUGGCCUUCUUUUGACUAAUUUAAGUUUAUGCGAAAAUAAAGACGUAAGUUUCACCAUCCAAAAUUUAAAAGAUAUAUACUCGAUUUUCAAUUAUUUUUAAAUUGAGUGAAUCAAUUGAAUUUCUCAAACUAAUUCAAGUGUAUCAAAAGAGACAAAAUUGUCACCAAGGAUUUGUGAUCGACAUUCAACUAUCUUUUAAUUGAGUGUUUUUUUUUUAGCAGUACAAGUGUUAACAUAAUUUACGUGAUAUUAUAUGAUUGACAUAAAAUUUACUAUAUUUGUUUGAAAUUUAUGGUCCAAAAUAUUUUAAGAUUAUUUCUUGGCAAUACAUCAUUCAUCAAGGAUAAAAAUGAAAUUUUGAAGUUCAAUUAUUUUCAAUUAUAGAAAAAUGACAUUUUUUUUAGAUAAACUAAAAAAAAGUGUGUAAUGUAACUUUUAUUUAGAUACUUGAACUAUGACUUGUUCCAAAUGAACACAUGAUAAAGUGUUCCUAUUAGUCACUUUUGAUUCAAAUUUUGAAAAAAUAUUCAUCUGUGUUCACAAACAUCUAUUAGAUACUUGAGCAAAUCGCAUAAAUUAUUUCAUUGUUUAAUUGUACAUAUCAAUCUCAAUUGGAAGCAAUCUUGAUGUUCUUUUUUUAAAAAAAAAUUGGUCAAAAAAGAUAAACUAUUUUAUUAAUUAAAUAAUAAUAGUGGCGGUACUAGGGGUGAAAACUGUUUGUCCUGAGGAACGUCAAACCAAAAAAGAGUGUAAUUAGUAGUAGAGUAACUGGUAGAAGUCGAUGUAGUGGAUUAUUUUUGGAGACUAACAUGAUGUACCAAGCCAAAAUAUUUGAACCAGAGAUAUUAGUGUCUAUUUUGCCUUCUCCUUUUCAAAAUUUGAAUCGAAAAUGUUUAGUAAAAAUAUUUUAUCAUGUGUUCAAGUGCUCAAUUGAAAGUUUGGAACAAAUCAUAGUUUGAAUAUUUAAAUAAAAUUUACUCCCAAAUUUAAAAAGUUAUUGAUACAUUAAUGGUGAUUAGUCUCCACUAGAGAGCCAUGAUUAGAUGAAUAAUUAUGUAACUUAACCAAUGGUAAUAGGAGACGUUGAGACAUCAUUAUCGUUCUUUUAAAAGUACCCACAACAAUGUAGUACCUAACUAGAUUAUUUUAAUUUAAUCAUGUUCAAUUAAAAAUUACAUAACGAAGUUAGGUAAAGUAUAAAUAAGAUUUAAUCGCACACAUUUAAUUUCAUAGGCCAGGUCAAAUGGACUGUCGACCAGGGACACCAACUAUUUCCACAUAUUCAAUGUUGCAUCAUAUUAAAGUUAAGUGAACUCAUAUUAUAACACACUUAAUCAUGAUUAACAUGUAUUUACGUACUAAAUCGAUUAUUUGAUGAAUAAUAAAUUAAUAUGAUUUUGUGCAAAUACAGUAACUUCAUCCUCCGUACAGCAUCCUCAAUGUAAGCAACAAAUUAGUAGGUGAUCGAAAAGUGUCAUGACAAUAUGAGAAAUCUACUCAAUUCGCCAAAAUAAUGCAAUUGUCAGAAAGCCAAAUUACCAUUGUGCAUCAAGAAAAUACAUCAGAAAGGUAAAACUUAUAAUGAAUAAUCUAGUCCAAUAAGACUUUUAUAAAACAUAAGAAAGAAGAAUGUUUUCUGUCAAACUUAAAAGGUUUACACAAACAAACAACAAUCAUGAUUAAUUGAUAGCAUUACAAAGUUUAGAAAGAUCUUGGUUUCAUCACAAUGGUGGAAUGCUUCAAAAUGUGUAGACUGAACUGUCCACCUUUCUCCGAGGUGUCGAGCUUCGACUGUCCUGGAGGAGGCAACAUCUCAAAGUUUUGCACCAAACGUCCCAAAGUGAUGCCGAGAAUUGGCAAUGCAAGGAUAAUUCCGGGGCAACUCCUCCUACCAACACCGAAAGGAAGAAAUCUGAAGUCGUUGCCAUUGGCCUCAACGUGCUUCUCCUCUUCGAAGAACCUCUCAGGUCUGAACUCUUCAGGUUUCUUCCAGUGAGCGGGGUCGUUAGCUAGCCACCAAGCGUUAACUAAGAUUUUGCUUUCAGCUGGAAUAUCGUAUCCAGCAAGCUUUGCAUCAUGAAGGUUCAUGUGUGGGACUAAAAGAGGAAUUGCCAUCCUGAGUCUAAGAGUCUCCUUGAUCACAGCCUGAAGGUACGGAAGCUUGGGCAUGUCUGGCUCAGUCACUUGCAUUCCUGGUCCAAGAACUGUAUCAAUCUCAUCACGGAGUUUCUUUUGGAUAUGAGGGUGGUUGACUAGUUCCGCGAUACCCCACUCAAUUGACCACAAUGUUGUUUCGAUUGCUGGUCACGACAGUAAUUAAGCAUAUCAGCUGAAUAAUCAACUAACCAAGAAGUUUACGAACAGAUACAAACAACAAAACAUGCUUCAAUGGUAGGAUGUGUGACUUUUUAAGUUUAAGACCAUAUCAAAACUCAUGUAUUACUUACUACAAGGCGAUGCAAUAAAUGAAACAACUUCCGGACAAGAGGCAAUUCCAAGAUCUACCCGUUAUUGAGUUCAAAAUAUGUAUGAUCUCAUUACAUAUGUAUACAUUACAAAUUCUUUUUCAUAUGUAUGCACA
rnacentral:lncRNA from 1 species